CAUGAGCCCUGCCGAGCCGUGAGGCCGCGGGCCUAAAGACGGGUGCAGCAGUCGUUCGUCUCGUUGGACAAAAUGCCUCGCUUGACCGGAUGGAGUGCCUCCGAUGAKCCACCCACCCGCAGCACAUAACAUUCCGAAUCCGAGAGCACGGGCGAAGAGCCUCGUGCGCCGAGGCAGCCAUGCAGCUGGGCUAGGCGUGCCGGGGACACGAGGCUUGCCUGGCGUCCGACCCACCACCCGUGAGGGCGUGGGACGGAGAUAAACAAACGAACCCUCUAAUU
rnacentral:misc_RNA from 1 species